CAUUGUGCACCUUCAUCACAAAGAACUGAGAUUAUCUCAUCCCAAUCUUGAUGCUCUUUUAGGUAUUGCACAUAACCAUCAUCCUCGAUGUUAAGAGUCUCAUAGAAAUCAUUGAUGGCUUGGUUAUGAAAAGGUACCUGUUUACUUGGCACAAAGGCUACACCAUUAGUGUUUUCAAUAAUAUUAGCGUAGAAUUCUUUUACCACUAGUAUGAUAGCUACCUUUGAUUCAACACAAAAUUUCUACUAGUGCCUUUCAACAAUAUGGGCUUGAAUCCCUAGGUAGUGUAUUAGUAGAUCAUCAAAACCCCUUUCUUGAAUUGGAACUUUGUUGAUGAGUGAAUUGUUGUGUCUAAUGAUAGCAUCCAUAGACAUAAACUUGCUUUGAUAAAAAAAAACCACUCGCACUACUUCUCACUUUUUUUGGUGCCAUUAUCAAAUUUUCUAAAAUAAUUUCGUAAACAACAAAACCAAGGCACAAUAACUAAAAUUCGCAGCAACUACCUAAUUCCAAAAUUACUCUACCAUAAUUAUCUCAAUUAUGAAUUUCAAACUCCCUAUUUUUGAUUAAUUGUACCAAUAAUACUAUUUCUUAAAUUCUUAAUAAUCAAUUCAAUUAACCCAACCACAAUUUAAUCUAAAAGCACAAUUCAAGUCACCAAAAUCACAAUUCUCAACAAUUCCAACAAACCCAAUAUUAUCAAAGCAUAAUUAACUUAACUAGCAUGAAUUUUCACCAAAAUUAAUCAACAAACUAUUUAAAAUCAAAAACCAAAUACUUAUUGAAAUCUUUUAAGAGAGAGAGAACUUACUUGGAGAAAUUUGUAGUAACUUGGUUGUUGGAGGUUUGAUGGAGAUUGAAUGGUGGUUUGGGUGGAAAAAGUUAAUGAAUUUGAGUGGGUGUGAGAGUUUUAAAGAAAAAAAG
rnacentral:lncRNA from 1 species